rnacentral:rRNA from 1 species
UACGCUGGCGGCACGCCUAACACAUGCAAGUCGAACGAAGUAGCAAUACUUAGUGGCAGACGGGUGAGUAACAUGUGGGUAUCUGCCCUUUGGCCUGGAAUAACACGAGGAAACUUGUGCUAAUACCGGAUAAGUCUUUACGGAGAAAGCUUUAUGCACCAUUGGAUGAGCCCGCACUUGAUUAGUUUGUUGGUAGGGUAAUGGCCUACCAAGACUGUGAUCAAUAGCUGAUUUGAGAGGAUGAUCAGCCACAUUGGGACUGAGACACGGCCCAAACUCCUACGGGAGGCAGCAGUGGGGAAUCUUGCACAAUGGAGGAAACUCUGAUGCAGCGAUGCCGCGUGAGUGAAGAAGGCCUUUGGGUUGUAAAGCUCUUUCGUCGGGGAAGAAAAUGACUGUACCCGAAUAA